rnacentral:rRNA from 1 species
UGGCGAGCGGGUGAGUAACACGUGGGUGAUCUGCCCUGCACUUCGGGAUAAGCUUGGGAAGCUGGGUCUAAUACCGGAUAGGAACCAUCUUUAGUGUGGUGGUUGGAAAGUUUUUUCGGUGUAGGAUGAGCUCGCGGCCUAUCAGCUUGUUGGUGGGGUAAUGGCCUACCAAGGCGGCGACGGGUAGCCGGCCUGAGAGGGUGUACGGCCACAUUGGGACUGAGAUACGGCCCAG